GAUGAACGCUAGCUACAGGCUUAACACAUGCAAGUCGAGGGACCGGCGCACGGGUGAGUAACACGUAUCCCACCUGCCCUUUACUCGGGGAUAGCCUUUCGAAAGAAAGAUUAAUACCCGAUCUACAGGAUGGGGAUGCGUUCCAUUAGGUUGUUGGUGAGGGAACGGCUCGCCAAGCCUUCGAUGGAUAGGGGUUCUGAGAGGAAGCUCCCCUGGAUUUGAACUGAGACACGGUCCAAACCCGUACGCGGGGGUGGAGUGUGGAAUAUUAGGCAAUGGGCGCUAGCCGGAACAAGCCGCGUAGCGUGAAGGAUGAAGGGGUAUGGGUCGUAAAUUUCUUUUAUAUAAGAAUAUGUAUUAUAUGAAUAAGGAUCGGCUAACUCCGUGCCAGCAGCCGCGGUAAUUC
rnacentral:rRNA from 1 species